rnacentral:rRNA from 1 species
UGUUUCACAAAAACAUGUCUUUUUGAAUUAUAUAAAAAGUCUAACCUGCCCACUGAUAAUUUUUAAAUGGCCGCAGUAUUUUGACUGUGCAAAGGUAGCAUAAUCAUUAGUCUUUUAAUUGAAGGCUGGAAUGAAUGGUUGGACGAAAUAUUAACUGUUUCAUUUAAAAUUUAAAUAGAAUUUUAUUUUUUAGUCAAAAAGCUAAAAUAAAUUUAAAAGACGAGAAGACCCUAUAAAUCUUUAUAUUUUAUUUAUUUUAAUUAUAAAGAUUAAUUUAAUUUUAAUAAAUUAAAAUAUUUUAUUGGGGUGAUAUUAAAAUUUAAAAAACUUUUAAUUUGUAAAAACAUUAAUUUAUGAAUAAUUGAUCCAUUAAUAAUGAUUAAAAAAUUAAGUUACUUUAGGGAUAACAGCGUAAUUUUUUUGGAGAGUUCAUAUCGAUAAAAAAGAUUGCGACCUCGAUGUUGGAUUAAGAUAUAAUUUUGGGUGUAGCCGUUCAAAUUUUAAGUCUGUUCGACUUUUAAAUUCUUACGUGAUCUGAGUUCCAAACCGGGGGG